rnacentral:lncRNA from 1 species
UAAAAGGUAAAAAAAUGUAUUUUGCCAUAUUGGAAUGUCUCACAAAAGCCAAAAGGAUCACUAGGUGAUAGUUUCACAUUGCAACUUUUCCAGAUCGUGUUUGGUACUUCAUUGCUUAUGUGACCAAGUUUCAUAUGCUAGAUAUCCAUAAUAGACACAUAAGAAAUUGAGUCCUUUCCAAUCCCUGAGAGCUGGUACAUGCCAUAUUUAAGUGUACUUAUUAGUAUUG